rnacentral:rRNA from 1 species
UGGGGAAUAUUGGACAAUGGGCGCAAGCCUGAUCCAGCCAUGCCGCGUGAGUGAUGAAGGCCCUAGGGUUGUAAAGCUCUUUCACCGGUGAAGAUAAUGACGGUAACCGGAGAAGAAGCCCCGGCUAACUUCGUGCCAGCAGCCGCGGUAAUACGAAGGGGGCUAGCGUUGUUCGGAUUUACUGGGCGUAAAGCGCACGUAGGCGGACUUUUAAGUCAGGGGUGAAAUCCCGGGGCUCAACCCCGGAACUGCCUUUGAUACUGGAAGUCUUGAGUAUGGUAGAGGUGGGUGGAAUUCCGAGUGUAGAGGUGAAAUUCGUAGAUAUUCGGAGGAACACCAGUGGCGAAGGCGGCUCACUGGGCCAUUACUGACGCUGAGGUGCGAAAGCGUGGGGAGCAAACAGG